rnacentral:rRNA from 1 species
UACGUAGGGUGCGAGCGUUAAUCGGAAUUACUGGGCGUAAAGCGUGCGCAGGCGGUUUUGUAAGCCAGGUGUGAAAUCCCCGGGCUCAACCUGGGAACUGCAUCUGUGACUGCAUCGCUGGAGUGCGGCAGAGGGGGAUGGAAUUCCGCGUGUAGCAGUGAAAUGCGUAGAUAUGCGGAGGAACACCGAUGGCGAAGGCAAUCCCCUGGGCCUGCACUGACGCUCAUGCACGAAAGCGUGGGGAGCAAACAGG